CCUACGGGGGGCAGCAGUAAGGAAUAUUGGUCAAUGGACGCAAGUCUGAACCAGCCAUGCCGCGUGGAGGAUGAAGGUCCUCUGGAUUGUAAACUUCUUUUAUUUGGGAAGAAACUCCCGAUUUCCAUCGGGAUUGACGGUACCAGAUGAAUAAGCACCGGCUAACUCCGUGCCAGCAGCCGCGGUAAUACGGAGGGUGCCGGCGUCAUCGGGAUUCACUGGGUUUAAGGGGGGCAUGUAAGGCCAGUGUGAAAUCUCCGGGCUUAACCCGGAAACUGCCAUUGAUACUAUUUGUCUUGAAUACUCAUGAGGUGAGCGGAAUAUGUCAUGUAGCGGUGAAAUGCUUAGAUAUGACAUAGAACACCAAUUGCGAAGGCAGCUCACUACGGAAAUAUUGACGCUGAGGCACGAAAGCGUGGGGAUCAAACAGGAUUAGAUACCCUUGUAGUC
rnacentral:rRNA from 1 species